UACGAAGGGGGCUAGCGUUGUUCGGAUUUACUGGGCGUAAAGCGCACGUAGGCGGAUCUUUAAGUCGGAGGUGAAAUCCCAAGGCUCAACCUUGGAACUGCCUUUGAUACUGGGGAUCUUGAGUCCGGGAGAGGUGAGUGGAACUGCGAGUGUAGAGGUGAAAUUCGUAGAUAUUCGCAAGAACACCAGUGGCGAAGGCGGCUCACUGGCCCGGUACUGACGCUGAGACGCGAAAGCGUGGGGAGCAAACAGG
rnacentral:rRNA from 1 species